GGGAGUAAUUGCCCUAAGUCUUUAAGACCUAGGUAUAAAAGCUUAACCACCCAUUUCCCUACAACCUAGCACUGUGCCCUUAUCGCCGUUAGUUCUUCCUCUUCAGUCUCGUCGGUCUCAGCUUGGUCUUCCACCGAGCUCAGAUUUUCGAUCGAGUGUCGAGCUACUCCGGCGGAUCCGUGGAGGAUUUGCAAGCGAAUGGGAGUUCCCUUGAUCACCGCAUCGGCGGCUACGGCAAGGAGAAAGUCCUAAACGGAGGGACACGGGACGCGGAAGGGAAGGUGAGGAUGAGUCUUUGGACAUGGCGGAGGUUUGACAGACGGAGUAGACGAGAAGGCGGGAUGGACGCAUGGUGCUGUCCGGACAUUAGGAGUGUUGAGUUUAUGCUAUGGUGGUGUACUGGAUUCUUAGCUGGGUUCAUUGUGCUAAACUUUUGUGUGAGAUGAUGACCUUAUUUUCUUUGAAAUGAAACAUUAGUUUUGGUAUCA